GACGAACGCUGGCGGCGUGCUUAAUACAUGCAAGUCGAGCGAGGUUACUGUUUGGAUCCCUUCGGGGUGAAGAAGCUUUAACCUAGCGGCGGACGGGUGAGUAACGCGUGGGUAACCUACCCCAAAGUCCGGGAUAACAGCGGGAAACCGCUGCUAAUACCGGAUGCCUUUACCUUGGGGCAUCUUGAGGUAAAGAAAGGUAACGCUUUGGGAUGGGCCCGCGUCCCAUUAGCUAGUUGGUGAGGUAACGGCUCACCAAGGCGACGAUGGGUAGCCGGCCUGAGAGGGUGGACGGCCACACUGGGACUGAGACACGGCCCAGACUCCUACGGGAGGCAGCAGUAGGGAAUAUUGCGCAAUGGACGGAAGUCUGACGCAGCGACGCCGCGUGAGCGAUGAAGGUCUUCGGAUCGUAAAGCUCUGUCCUUGGGGAAGAAGGCGAAAGCUUGACGGUACCCAAGAAGAAAGCCCCGGCUAACUACGUG
rnacentral:rRNA from 1 species